rnacentral:rRNA from 1 species
GAUGAACGCUGGCGGCGUGCCUAAUACAUGCAAGUCGAGCGAACAGACGAUGAGCUUGCUCCUCUGACGUUAGCGGCGGACGGGUGAGUAACACGUGGAUAACCUACCUAUAAGACUGGGAUAACUUCGGGAAACCGGAGCUAAUCCCGGAUAAUAUAUUGAACCGCAUGGUUCAAUAGUGAAAUACGGUUUUGCUGUCACUUAUAGAUGGAUCCGCGCCGCAUUAGCUAGUUGGUAAGGUAACGGCUUACCAAGGCGACGAUGCGUAGCCGACCUGAGAGGGUGAUCGGCCACACUGGAACUGAGACACGGUCCAGACUCCUACGGGAGGCAGCAGUAGGGAAUCUUCCGCAAUGGGCGAAAGCCUGACGGAGCAACGCCGCGUGAGUGAUGAAGGUCUUCGGAUCGUAAAACUCUGUUAUUAGGGAAGAACAAAUGUGUAAGUAACUAUGCACGUCUUGACGGUACCUAAUCAGAAAGCCACGGCUAACUACGUG